UCUAUAGUAUGGGCUUUAUUAUA
rnacentral:siRNA from 1 species